rnacentral:rRNA from 1 species
GACGAACGCUGGCGGCGUGCUUAACACAUGCAAGUCGAACGGAAAGGCCCUGCUUUUGUGGGGUGCUCGAGUGGCGAACGGGUGAGUAACACGUGAGUAACCUGCCCUUGACUUUGGGAUAACUUCAGGAAACUGGGGCUAAUACCGGAUAGGAGCUCCUGCUGCAUGGUGGGGGUUGGAAAGUUUCGGCGGUUGGGGAUGGACUCGCGGCUUAUCAGCUUGUUGGUGGGGUAGUGGCUUACCAAGGCUUUGACGGGUAGCCGGCCUGAGAGGGUGACCGGCCACAUUGGGACUGAGAUACGGCCCAGACUCCUACGGGAGGCAGCAGUGGGGAAUAUUGCACAAUGGUCGGAAGCCUGAUGCAGCAACGCCGCGUGCGGGAUGACGGCCUACGGGUUGUAAACCGCUUUCGCCUGUGACGAAGCGUGAGUGACGGUAAUGAGUAAAGAAGCACCGGCUAACUACGUG